CUUUAUUUUAUCCUUUUCUUCCCUCUUGGGAUAGCCGAAAGAAGAAGCCAUGUUCUUCUUCUUCUUCUUUUUUCUGCUUUCAAGUCAGUGCAGGAUUUGGACAACUGUUAUUAACUUAUUUUCCUUUCCCUGCAUCAUUUCAUCCCAAUUUCUUCUUUAGUUUUUUCAGACAACCCCAUAUGCUCUAUUUAUUUGACAAGGGUUAAGUGCAGGAGGAAAUUUUGGUGAUUUGAUUAAGUAGUGAUGGAAAGGUUGAACUCAAAGCUGUACCUGCAGAACUGUUACAUAAUGAAGGAGAAUGAGAGACUAAGGAAGAAGGCACAGCUUCUGAAUCAGGAGAAUCAGGCCCUGUUGUCUGAGCUCAAACAAAAACUCUCCAAGGGCAAUCAGAAAGCCAAUAAUGCUAGUAAUCCAAACACCUUUCUUGACCUGAGUCUCAGCUCAAGUUCCAGUCAAAACCCUUCUAGUUCCACCAAUUAAAUGUGCUAAAUUAGUGAUUAUGAGAAGCAUCUUGUGACCCCUCUAGUGACUGUAAUUGUUUUUUUCUAAUCCUUUUUUUUUUGUGUAAAACCAACCAAUGUGAGGAGCAGUGUAGUUGUAGUUUCUGUUCCAUAGGACAAUACUAGCAAUUAAUCCUCUACCAGGGCACUAUUGCUUCCAUUUCCAUGUUUAAUCAUAUUUUCCUUAGAUAUGAAUUUCUGAACUACAUUGUUGUAUGAUGGUGUAUCUGGUCUAUCUGCUAGAAAUGAAUAUAAACUUAUUAUAUGCUUAGCUCUCAUUA